UGGGGAAUAUUGGACAAUGGGGGGAACCCUGAUCCAGCCAUGCCGCAUGUGUGAAGAAGGCCUUAUGGUUGUAAAGCACUUUAAGCGAGGAGGAGGGUACUGGUAUUAAUACUACCAGCUACUGGACGUUACUCGCAGAAUAAGCACCGGCUAACUCUGUGCCAGCAGCCGCGGUAAUACAGAGGGUGCGAGCGUUAAUCGGAUUUACUGGGCGUAAAGCGUGCGUAGGCGGCUAAUUGAGUCGGAUGUGAAAUCCCCGAGCUUAACUUGGGAAUUGCAUUCGAUACUGGUUAGCUAGAGUGUGGGAGAGGAUGGUAGAAUUCCAGGUGUAGCGGUGAAAUGCGUAGAGAUCUGGAGGAAUACCGAUGGCGAAGGCAGCCAUCUGGCCUAACACUGACGCUGAGGUACGAAAGCAUGGGGAGCAAACAGG
rnacentral:rRNA from 1 species